CAGUUCCAACUAGCAGCAGCCAUCUUGGAUGAAUGAGUACCAAACAAUCUGAAAGGACACCCAAAGAAGUGUGCCUGAUCAAAACUCCAAAUACCGCGAUAAUGGUCUGGGUCUACCACACUGGAAUGUAACUAUCAUCUGUUCCUGAGUUUAGUGAAUUCAAAAAAAAAAAAUUGUGCUUUAAAAACAGACAGAGGCCUCUGUGGGAGCUUAAUCUGCAGCAAGAUUUGGGAACUACUGCACUCUCUCCAUAGAUGCCAAAAGGCUCAAAUCACAACAGGACAGAAAGUAAUUUUCAGAGACAUGAGUACUUUGGUAAGUAAAGGAUCCAGAGCAGGCAGCAGGUCCAGUGAAAGAAAGGAGAAGACUUGGAGAGGAUGUAGUUAAAUAAAGAAUAGUGAAGCUACACAGACUCACAACAGGAGGAUCAAGGGCACAUCAAUCUAGAAUCAUAGACUUGGAGAAUGGCUUUCCCAGAACUUGGGCAGCCUCUACAGGUGGCUGUUCAGAAUCUGCUUGAAGAUAUCCAGCAAAGGAGAACCUACUCCUCCUCUAGGUCUGAUGCAGUGUGUGCUGACCAUCCAUCUACAGAAUUGUUCAGGUUUUCCACCAAAUUGCUUCAAUCUGCAGCUUUUGAAAUGAGACUUCAAGGUAAACUUAAACCAGGUAUGGUUCACCAGCAUCUUGUAAAGACACAUAUUUUUGACUGGACUUACCUUGACCCAUAA